CUCCGCCAUCCCUUAAGCCGGGACUCCCGGAGGUGAGUCUCCCCUCCGUCCGGGGAAGCCGGGCCGUGUUGCCCGGCGGCGGCGGCGGCGGCGGCAGCAGCACCGCUCCGAGAAACUGCUCUGUGAUGCCCUGCCACCCGCCCCCGUCGGCGCCCAUGUUCCGAUGAGGGAGAAUCCUCAAAACCUCCAAGGAUUGCUGAGGAAUGAAGAAUCAAGGUUCAUUCCAGAGGUGUCAAUGAAGAUACUGCAAAAUCUGAGGACCCGUCCUGGGCCCAGCAUGGAAGUACAAUUAUGAAGAAAGCACAGCAACACUUCUACUUCCUUAGAAGUUUGAGAAGAUUUAGCAUGACAUCUAAUAUGUUGAAGAACUUCUAUAGAGGCAGAGUCUAGAUUGAAGCACAAGGAGACGGUUGGGGCUAUCCAGCUAGGUUGCCA